rnacentral:lncRNA from 1 species
CGCGGGUACCACCAAAGCUCCCACCACCGGCCCCCCCAUCCCUCGUAACUCCGGGGGGCUUCGACGUCCUCCCCCCCCCCGCCCCCUCGUGAUGGAGCGCCAUUUCGGCUGCGAGAGAGGUGUUGGGGCCUCGCUCGGGUAAGGGGGGGGCCCUGCAGGUUGGGGGGGGGGCUGUGUUGUCCCCUGGCCCCCCCCGGAGGCGGCGGAGGUGGGAGAGGUAAAGCUGCUCCAGCUCGCGGGCCACGGCCUCGUCCUCAGCGUUCUGUGUUGGGGGCUGCUCUGCUUCCAGGGGGGGCAGCGAU